AGAGUUUGAUCAUGGCUCAGAGCGAACGCUGGCGGCAGGCUUAACACAUGCAAGUCGAGCGCCUGUAGCAAUACAGGAGCGGCAGACGGGUGAGUAACGCGUGGGAACGUACCUUCUGGUUCGGAAUAACUCAGGGAAACUUGAGCUAAUACCGAAUAAGUCCUUCGGGAGAAAGAUUUAUCGCCGGAAGAUCGGCCCGCGUAAGAUUAGCUUGUUGGUGAGGUAACGGCUCACCAAGGCUACGAUCUUUAGCUGGUCUGAGAGGAUGAUCAGCCACAUUGGGACUGAGACACGGCCCAAACUCCUACGGGAGGCAGCAGUGGGGAAUAUUGGACAAUGGGCGCAAGCCUGAUCCAGCCAUGCCGCGUGAGUGAUGAAGGCCUUAGGGUUGUAAAGCUCUUUUAGCAGGGACGAUAAUGACGGUACCUGCAGAAAAAGCCCCGGCCAACUUCGUGCCAGCAGCCGCGGUAAUACGAAGGGGGCUAGCGUUGCUCGGAAUCACUGGGCGUAAAGCGCACGUAGGCGGGUCGUUAAGUCAGGGGUGAAAUCCCGGAGCUCAACUCCGGAACUGCCUUUGAUACUGGCGACCUUCGAGUCCGGGAGAGGUGAGUGGAACUGCGAGUGUAGAGGUGAAAUUCGUAGAUAUUCGCAAGAACACCAGUGGCGAAGGCGGCUCACUGGCCCGGUACUGACGCUGAGGUGCGAAGGCGUGGGGAGCAAACAGGAUUAGAUACCCUAGUAGUCC
rnacentral:rRNA from 1 species